rnacentral:rRNA from 1 species
AUUUUGCGCAGCUUAGGUGGGAGGCUAUGAACCUUUUCUUCUGGGAAGAGGGGAGCCAUCAGUGAGAUACCACUCUUGGUAAGCUAGAGCGCUCAGUCUUCACCGUCAUCCGGUAAGACGACAGUUUCAGGCGGGCAGUUUGACUGGGGCAGUCACCUCCCAAAAGGUAAUGGAGGUGUGCAAAGGUUCCCUCAGGCUGGACGGAAAUCAGCCAUAGAGUGUAAAAGCAUAAGGGAGCUUGACUGCGAGACUGACAUGUCAAGCAGAGACGAAAGUCGGCUUUAGUGAUCCGACGGUGCUGUGUGGAAAGGCCGUCGCCCAACGGAUAAAAGUUACUCUAGGGAUAAC